rnacentral:lncRNA from 1 species
UAACGGUGGAGUCUCAGUUGGACGGAGCCUGAUUCAUGUGGUGAGUUUACUCAUCUGAGGAUCCCACAGAACAUCACCAAUGGCUUUCCUCCGCACUGUGUUGCUGGUUCUCCUGUUGGCAAAGUCCUGUGGUAAACGGAGAUGUGACUACAGAGAAAUACUGGGCUCCUACACAGAGAUUAUCUUCGUCGAACUACGGAAUCUGAACUUGACUGGCUCUUCAAACUCCUUCAAGAGAGACCCAUGUCCUUCAUCCAAGGCAAAUCGAAUCCUGACCUCCAUCUACAGUGUGUCCCAGCAGAUACGGUGUCAGAGCACUGAAAAGGAGUCCGACUUGGAGCUACCAGUGGGGAGAAUGGAGC